rnacentral:rRNA from 1 species
AUAGCUUGACACUGAACAUUGAGCCUUGAUGUGUAGGAUAGGUGGGAGGCUUUGAAGUGUGGACGCCAGUCUGCAUGGAGCCAACCUUGAAAUACCACCCUUUAAUGUUUGAUGUUCUAACGUAGACCCGUAAUCCGGGUUGCGGACAGUGUCUGGUGGGUAGUUUGACUGGGGCGGUCUCCUCCCAAAGAGUAACGGAGGAGCACGAAGGUUAGCUAAUCCUGGUCGGACAUCAGGAGGUUAGUGCAAUGGCAUAAGCUAGCUUGACUGCGAGCGUGACGGCGCGAGCAGGUGCGAAAGCAGGUCAUAGUGAUCCGGUGGUUCUGAAUGGAAGGGCCAUCGCUCAACGGAUAAAAGGUACUCCGGGGAUAACAGGCUGAUACCGCCCAAGAGUUCAUAUCGACGGCGGUGUUUGGCACCUCGAUGUCGGCUCAUCACAUCCUGGGGCUGAAGUAGGUCCCAAGGGUAUGGCUGUUCGCCAUUUAAAGUGGUACGCGAGCUGGGUUUAGAACGUCGUGAGACAGUUCGGUCCCUAUCUGCCGUGGGCGCUGGAGAAUUGAGGGGGGCUGCUCCUAGUACGAGAGGACCGGAGUGGACGCAUCACUGGUGUUCGGGUUGUCAUGCCAAUGGCAUUGCCCGGUAGCUACAUGCGGAAGAGAUAAGUGCUGAAAGCAUCUAAGCACGAAACUUGCCCCGAGAUGAGUUCUCCCUGAGACUUUAAGUCUCCUGAAGGAACGUUGAAGACGACGACGUUGAUAGGCUGGGUGUGUAAGUGCAGCGAUGCAUUGAGCUAACCAGUACUAAUGAACCGUGAGGCUUAACCUUACAACGCCAAAGGUGUUUUG